UUAGUGGAAGAAACGGGAGAAGCCCCGGCACCGCCUUGUGCGUCGCCAAGUUUGCAGCUUGGCGCUGUUUUCGGGGCCUGGUAGCGAAGGUAGAC
rnacentral:tRNA from 1 species